CAGCCGCCGCGGUAAAACGGAGGGAGCCAGCGUUAUUCGGAAUUACUGGGCGUAAAGCGCACGUAGGCGGCUUUGUAAGUUAGAGGUGAAAGCCUGGAGCUCGACUCCAGAAUUGCCUUUAAGACUGCAUCGCUUGAAUCCAGGAGAGGUGAGUGGAAUUCCGAGUGUAGAGGUGAAAUUCGUAGAUAUUCGGAAGAACACCAGUGGCGAAGGCGACUCACUGGCCCAUUACUGACGCUGAGGCUCGAAAGCGUGGGGAGCAAGCAGGAUUAGAUACCCGCGUAGUCCCUGUCUCUUAUAU
rnacentral:rRNA from 1 species